rnacentral:rRNA from 1 species
GAUGAACGCUGGCGGCGUGCCUAAUACAUGCAAGUCGAGCGAACGGACGAGAAGCUUGCUUCUCUGAUGUUAGCGGCGGACGGGUGAGUAACACGUGGAUAACCUACCUAUAAGACUGGGAUAACUUCGGGCAACCGGAGCUCAUACCGGAUAAUAUUUUGAACCGCAUGGUUCAAAAGUGAAAGACGGUCUUGCUGUCACUUAUAGAUGGAUCCGCGCUGCAUUAGCUAGUUGGUAAGGUAACGGCUUACCAAGGCAACGAUGCAUAGCCGACCUGAGAGGGUGAUCGGCCACACUGGAACUGAGACACGGUCCAGACUCCUACGGGAGGCAGCAGUAGGGAAUCUUCCGCAAUGGGCGAAAGCCUGACGGAGCAACGCCGCGUGAGUGAUGAAGGUCUUCGGAUCGUAAAACUCUGUUAUUAGGGAAGAACAUAUGUGUAAGUAACUGUGCACAUCUUGACGGUACCUAAUCAGAAAGCCACGGCUAACUACGUG